rnacentral:rRNA from 1 species
UGCCUACGGGAGGCAGCAGUGAGGAAUAUUGGUCAAUGGGCGAGAGCCUGAACCAGCCAAGUCGCGUGAGGGAGUACUGCCCUAUGGGUUGUAAACUUCUUUUAUAUGGGAAUAAAAUGUUCCACGUGUGGGGUUUUGUAUGUACCAUAUGAAUAAGGAUCGGCUAACUCCGUGCCAGCAGCCGCGGUAAUACGGUGGAUCCGAGCGUUAUCCGGAUUUAUUGGGUUUAAAGGGAGCGUAGGUGGAUUGUUAAGUCAGUUGUGAAAGUUUGCGGCUCAACCGUAAAAUUGCAGUUGAAACUGGCA